rnacentral:tRNA from 1 species
GAGGGUAUAGCUCAGGGGUAGAGUGCCUGCUUAGCAUGCAUGAGGUUCUGGGUUCAACCCCCAGUACCUCCA